rnacentral:rRNA from 1 species
CGUGCCAGCAGCCGCGGUAAUACGGAGGGUGCAAGCGUUGUUCGGAAUUAUUGGGCGUAAAGCGAGUGUAGGCGGUUUGGCAAGUCGGAUGUGAAAGCCCAGGGCCCAACCCUGGAAUUGCAUCCGAUACUGUCAGGCUAGAGUCCCGGAGAGGGUGGCGGAAUUCCCGGUGUAGGGGUGAAAUCCGUAGAUAUCGGGAGGAACACCAGUGGCGAAGGCGGCCACCUGGACGGUGACUGACGCUGAGACUCGAAAGCGUGGGUAGCAAACAGGAUUAGAUACCCUGGUAGUCCACGCCGUAAACGGUGAGUGCUCGUCGUCGUGGGUAUUGACCCCUGCGGUGACCAAGUUAACGCAUGAAGCACUCCGCCUGGGAAGUACGGUCGCAAGACUAAAACUCAAAGAAAUUGACGGGGGCCCGCACAAGCGGUGGAGCAUGUUGUUUAAUUCGAAGCAACGCGCAGAACCUUACCUGGAUUUGACAUCCUCGGAAUCUCUCUGAAAGGAGAGAGUGCCUUCGGGAGCCGAGAGACAGGUGCUGCAUGGCUGUCGUCAGCUCGUGUCGUGAGGUGUUGGGUUAAGUCCCGCAACGAGCGCAACCCCUAUCGUUAGUUGCUAGCAGUUCGGCUGAGCACUCUAGCGAGACUGCCGGUGUUAAACCGGAGGAAGGUGGGGAUGACGUCAAGUCCUCAUGGCCUUUAUGUCCAGGGCUACUAACGUGCUACAAUGGUCGGUACAGACGGUCGCGAACCCGCGAGGGCAAGCCAACCCUAAAAAGCCGGCCUCAGUUCGGAUUGGAGUCUGCAAUUCGACUCCAUGAAGGCGGAAUCGCUAGUA